rnacentral:misc_RNA from 1 species
UGUGGGAGUGAGCCUGCUCGCGAUAGCGUUGGUUCAGUGACAUUUAUGUCGACUGACACACCGCAACCGCGAGCAGGCUCACUCCCACA